rnacentral:lncRNA from 1 species
UGUAUAUCCAUGCAUACAUACACAUAUAAGCAUUCAUGUAUCAUUUUGCGUUUGUGUUUAAGCGUAUAUCUAUACAUUUAUCAGCAUCAUGAUUUACAUAUACAUAUAGUACGUGUAUAGAUUGUCUCACAACAUUAUAUAUUGCGCCUCAGUGCUUAAAUACGAAAUAUUUCCUAAAUCGAAAUACGCCGAUAACAAACCGCAAAUAAUAGUUUCGUAAGUACUUCGCAAUACCGCCGUCACGUGUCAGACUGUUCUUUGGCGGGUGCAGAGAGUCGUAAAACAUUAAGAUUACGUAUCGCUAUCAGGCUGUCCCUCCCCCGCCUUUGGAACGACCUUGAAGCUAGACACUGGGCGUUAGAGGGGUGGGACGCAAAGGGAGACAAGGAGAGGGAAGCAGUGGGAUGGAGAAGAGAGGCAAGGAUGUAAAAGAAAAGGAGAAGGGAUGGAGAAGAGAGGCAAGGAUGUAAAAGAAAAGGAGAAGGGAUGGAGAAGAGAGGGGAGGAUGGAAAGUAGAUGGAGAAGAGAGGCAAUGGAUGGAGAAGAGGCGAAGGAAGCAGGUGAAGGAGACGAGGCGAAGAAAUAGUGGGUUGGACCUCGCAUAACGCCAGAGAAUUAAAUAAGACACAAAAUAAAACACACUCGAGCCGCGGGGAAAAAAGGUGGAGAUAUCGAAAGGCUAAAGGGCAGAUAUCGAAAACUGAUAAAACGUACGUGUGGGGGUGUUAUUUGUUCUAAUUUCUAUGUAGAGAAAUGUCGAAAAAAAGAAUGAAGUGAACGAGUGGAGAAAGGAAUGACAAAGACGAAAUAAGAAUAAAAAAGUAUGCAGGCAAUAAAGUAGUCGGGGGACUGGAUAGUAGAGUGGUAAGUGCUACAGCUGAAGAAUGGAAGGAAAAAUCUGAUUGAUUAGAGUAAGUCUAAAUAUAAGGGUCUAAGAUAAAAAGAAACAAAUAUCAGAGAAAUGUUAACGAUCAGUCGUGAGACGUGGCUGGUGUCAGCAUCUGUUUAAAGAACAUAGAUAAGACCUCUUCAAGUUGCUGUGGAUAAUAUUUAGGCAUUCUUAUCGCAUGGCAAUGUCAGCCAUGGCCGUUUAGGUUCACGUGAUCUUUGGAGUUCAAGCUGCAUCAAUUGCGGUCUUUAUCUUUGUCUCUCUCUCUAUCUGCCUGUCUCCGUCCCUUUGGCUUUUUAUCUCUUGAGGAGAGAAAUGCCACGCUUAAUGCCCGUCCCUUCCUCAGGCGGGAACGACGAGACUCGCGGGAGUCGCUGCUGGAGGGCGAGGGGAACGACCGAGCGUGCUGGUACGACGCGCCGCCGCCCUACGUGGAGGUCGUCCCUCCGCCGCCCUCGUACCAGGAUGCCAUUGCUCAUGUGGAGAAAGCCUGCCCCGUGAGCGAUGCCUCAGCCGCACCAACAACGACCAGCGACGCACCGGGCUUAACCUGCAGGAUGGACGCUCCGAUCAGGGACUUCGCAAGGACGUCCUGUGACUUCGACUGCCAGUUGCCCUUCGACACGAGGUCAUCGCAAGCUCGAGUCGCUCCGCCUGAACGCAGUGCUUGCAGACCCCUCGCUUCACACCACAAUGACGUGGCAAUACACAUAUGAAGCUUUUAUGGGAAUGAUCUUGCGAUUUUGAUGAAAUUUGGCCUUUCGCGCCUCAUUAACGUGUGUCCGGACGCCAUUGGCCAGAGACACAGAGAAAGACCCGAAAAGAUACAUUUGAGUCGGCGCAAUAAGGAGUCCUCUUGAAUGGGUUCGCGUGGAUGUGGAUUUUUUUUUUUUUUUUUUUUUCAAAUGAAGAAAUAUGUUAUACAGAAGUUGUACAUUUGUGUAUGAACAUAGCAUCAUCUCUUUUUAUCUGUUUAAACAACAAUAUCAUUCUCUGUAGUUAUUGUGUCUGUGUUUUGAUAUGUUAGUAUAUUUGACUCAGUGUUUCGUCACUGUUUAUGCGUUAGUAUAUUUGACUCAGUGUUUGUCACUGUUAAUGUUAGUAUAUUAGACUCAAGUUAUCUUGUCACUGUUAAUACGUUAGGUUAUUUGACUCAGUGUUAUGUCACUGUUAAUAUGUUAGUCUGUUCGACACACAAUGUACACUUCCAUUAUCAAAAAUUAUUUCCCUGUUUUAUGUGCUCAUCAGUGGCUUUGUGCUAUCACUCGUAAAUAGUUUCUUAUUCUGAUUUUCAUCUUACAAACAACUAUCACUCCAUUUUUAAACGGCCUGAAGAUAACACUAAGAUAAUUCAUUUAUAUGCCUUUCAGGUCGAGAUUCCUGUACAAGAUAUAAUUAUCUUACUUGAUCCUUUCCCUAUUUUCUUUCCAUUUUUCUAAUAAUUGUUGAGUAAUUUCUUGUUCAACAUCUAUCCCUUUUAAUUCAAUAAAAAAGACAUCGUAAA